GAUGAACGCUGGCGGCGUGCCUAAUACAUGCAAGUCGAGCGAACAGACGAGGAGCUUGCUCGUCUGACGUUAGCGGCGGACGGGUGAGUAACACGUGGAUAACCUACCUAUAAGACUGGGAUAACUUCGGGAAACCGGAGCUAAUACCGGAUAAUAUAUUGAACCGCAUGGUUCAAUAGUGAAAGACGGUUUUGCUGUCACUUAUAGAUGGAUCCGCGCCGCAUUAGCUAGUUGGUAAGGUAACGGCUUACCAAGGCGACGAUGCGUAGCCGACCUGAGAGGGUGAUCGGCCACACUGGAACUGAGACACGGUCCAGACUCCUACGGGAGGCAGCAGUAGGGAAUCUUCCGCAAUGGGCGAAAGCCUGACGGAGCAACGCCGCGUGAGUGAUGAAGGUCUUCGGAUCGUAAAACUCUGUUAUUAGGGAAGAACAAAUGUGUAAGUAACUAUGCACGUCUUGACGGUACCUAAUCAGAAAGCCACGGCUAACUACGUG
rnacentral:rRNA from 1 species